rnacentral:tRNA from 1 species
GGGCCGGUAGCUCAGCCUGGAAAUGCGAGUUGGGCAUCCUUAUUGGAAGCCACUCAUGGGCAUUUAGAGCACCGCACUUUUAAUGCGGUGGUCGCGAGUUCGAAUCUCGUCCGGCCCG